GACGAACGCUGGCGGCGUGCUUAACACAUGCAAGUCGAACGGAAAGGCCCUGCUUUUGUGGGGUGCUCGAGUGGCGAACGGGUGAGUAACACGUGAGUAACCUGCCCUUGACUUUGGGAUAACUUCAGGAAACUGGGGCUAAUACCGGAUAGGAGCUCCUGCUGCAUGGUGGGGGUUGGAAAGUUUCGGCGGUUGGGGAUGGACUCGCGGCUUAUCAGCUUGUUGGUGGGGUAGUGGCUUACCAAGGCUUUGACGGGUAGCCGGCCUGAGAGGGUGACCGGCCACAUUGGGACUGAGAUACGGCCCAGACUCCUACGGGAGGCAGCAGUGGGGAAUAUUGCACAAUGGGCGGAAGCCUGAUGCAGCAACGCCGCGUGCGGGAUGACGGCCCUCGGGUUGUAAACCGCUUUCGCCUGUGACGAAGCGUGAGUGACGGUAAUGGGUAAAGAAGCACCGGCUAACUACGUGCCAGCAGCCGCGGUGAUACGUAGGGUGCGAGCGUUGUCCGGAUUUAUUGGGCGUAAAGGGCUCGUAGGUGGUUGAUCGCGUCGGAAGUGUAAUCUUGGGGCUUAACCCUGAGCGUGCUUUCGAUACGGGUUGACUUGAGGAAGGUAGGGGAGAAUGGAAUUCCUGGUGGAGCGGUGGAAUGCGCAGAUAUCAGGAGGAACACCAGUGGCGAAGGCGGUUCUCUGGGCCUUUCCUGACGCUGAGGAGCGAAAGCGUGGGGAGCGAACAGGCUUAGAUACCCUGGUAGUCCACGCUGUAAACGGUGGGUACUAGGUGUGGGGUCCAUUCCACGGGUUCCGUGCCGUAGCUAACGCUUUAAGUACCCCGCCUGGGGAGUACGGCCGCAAGGCUAAAACUCAAAGGAAUUGACGGGGCCCCGCACAAGCGGCGGAGCAUGCGGAUUAAUUCGAUGCAACGCGUAGAACCUUACCUGGGUUUGACAUGGAUCGGGAGUGCUCAGAGAUGGGUGUGCCUCUUUUGGGGUCGGUUCACAGGUGGUGCAUGGCUGUCGUCAGCUCGUGUCGUGAGAUGUUGGGUUAAGUCCCGCAACGAGCGCAACCCUUGUUCACUGUUGCCAGCACGUUAUGGUGGGGACUCAGUGGAGACCGCCGGGGUCAACUCGGAGGAAGGUGGGGAUGACGUCAAGUCAUCAUGCCCCUUAUGUCCAGGGCUUCACGCAUGCUACAAUGGCUGGUACAGAGAGUGGCGAGCCUGUGAGGGUGAGCGAAUCUCGGAAAGUCGGUCUCAGUUCGGAUUGGGGUCUGCAACUCGACCUCAUGAAGUCGGAGUCGCUAGUAAUCGCAGAUCAGCAACGCUGCGGUGAAGACGUUCCCGGGGCU
rnacentral:rRNA from 1 species